GUGACUGGGUCUACAUAAAGGUCAUCAAACGAAAGAACUGGGCGAGUCCACGGUGGGAAGGACUGUUCCUAGUGCUGAUGACCACACCAACAGCUGUAAAGAUUGCUGAAAGACCCAGCUGGAUACAUCUUAGUCACUGUAAGCGGCAGAGAGUGUUGGACCCCUAAUUCGGAGUAGAGAGGAAGGAGGGCUUCGGCCCCCAGGCUACACAGGCAUUCUACUUUAUAGUAUUAGUUUGUCUCAAACCCGGCGAAGAACUGCUAAGAUUCUCACUCUUUUAGUUUGGGGGUUCUGACAUCUCUGCACGCCGAGCAGUAAUGGGGACUCCAUAUGCCAGAUGGAUCUUCUACUGUGCUGUGACUGCUGUAUGUUUGAUGUUUGGAGAAGGAAGCGAGCCUGAGUUCCACCCACACGACUACAGCACCAACCUGUGGUGGAAACUGAUGAAUAGAACUGCUUAUGAAGGACAUGCUGUGAAUUGCUAUGUGUGUGCGCAGCUGCCGGUUUCCAUACACAACUCAGGUCUCCGACCAGGGACGUUGCCCUGGAACUUGUGUAAUAGAGUUUACACCUACUGCGAACCAACACAGGAUUACAUCACCUGCAUAGCCUGCAGGGGUCAAAGGACGACUCCACAUUGCAAAGUCUGGAAGGAAAACCCAGACUGUGACAACCUGCUUCAGGAGAGGAGUUUCAACAUCAUGCAUAAGAUAAAUAGGAGACAGGAGACAACACUGUGCAGUGCCAUAGUGCCAGGAGAUUAUGGCUCACGGAUGUUGGCAGAUUGGUACUUCAUAUGCGGGAAUGAAGCAUACAUGUUCUUGCCGACAAAUUGGGGAGGACUGUGUGCUGUGGUUCCUUUGAUCAACCCGAUUGCGUUCAUCAGGAAAGCACAGAAUGAUUUACACACCCGCUCCAAACGAACAGUUAUGUCAGAGGUCAAAAGAUGGGGAGGCCUCACAACACAUACUGGAGUUCCAUGGGAAUUCAGGAUUUGGAACGGCGGAGAAAAAUGUUUAAAACAAUUAACACAACUGUUAUCAACUAUCAGUUGGCAAAGGCAUCUUAUGAGACAACUGAAGAUGACUUGUUUCAAGUUUCUGACGAUUUUCUGAACAAUGAUGAAGUUCUGUAAUCAAUAAACAGAUAAAUUCAUUUGCUGAAUGACUCCUACACUGAAAAUGUUAAACAAGUGGUGUUAAGGAUGAGAAAACUGCUUUUGAUUUUUUGCUGUUUCUUUUAUUUUUUUCAUUUAUUGCAUUAUAUUCCAUUUAUUCAUUGUGUAUUUUCUGUGUUUAGAUUAGGAAAAAAAAAAUCUUGCAUUUAUUGGUUCUUUUCUUUUCUUUUCUUUUCUAUGCUUAGCUUUUGCAUAAAGUUUACACACAUAAUGAAAUGA